GAAAUUUAAAAAACAAAAACUGGUAACAAGGUGUACUGACAAGCUUAUAAAGCCAGAGUUGGUCUGGGUUUCUCUAUUUUGCUGGGGUCUGGGUUGGGAGGAGGAGAGAGUUACAUUAGCUGGGGUCUGUAUCAGUUUGUGCAUCACCCCUGAUGAUACACAAGGAUUGUUACUCUGUCACUCCCAAGGUGAAUGUGUGCUGAGUUCCCCUGUGUGCUGAUUGGGGAGGGUAAGGGGUACUAAUAAGGUCCAAGUGUUAUCUGUGGGUUACAAAAGAAUUUGUGAAGCCUCAAAAAUGGAUGUUGUGUGUAAGCCUCCAGGUAAGUUUCCAUGUACCUCCUGGUGCCAGGUGCAAGCCUCUUUCAUCAUGCCAGCUUCAAGAACUUUGGCAGCUCAGGGAGAAGGGGUGUGUGCUUCCAGGCUGGAUUUCAGCUGAGGACACAGCAUCUCAGCUGCUCACAGAGGGGCUUUGCUGUGUCCUGUCCCCACAUACACAUAUCACGUGUACACUCUGGUUUGGGAUUGGGCAUGUGCCCUGGGGUCCUGCACAGCUGGUGUGCCUCGGAGUUAAACACUUUUAUCACGAAAUACAGGUAAUUGGAUGGCUUCAACACUGAGCAGACAGCUGUGUAUUCAAAUGUGACCUUAUACCGUCAGUCUCAUAACCUGCAUUUUGAUAUUACCAUUUUGAGCAUGGUAUUUAGGUAAAUGCUGUGCUGAGCCUGAGGAGUUGUUAAAACUGACACCACCACAGUGUGCUAAUGACCUGUAGUGCUGAGAUUGGGCCUUUGUUUGGGCUCAGCUGCAGUCUGACCAGAUGCAGAAAUACAUAGACAGUAACUCGUACACUGCUGAAACAAGCCUAGCAGGGCAGAGGUGAGAGCCACGUGUCAAAGGUGGUGCUACAGACAGCUGCCACAAGACUGCCAGUGACACUUCACAUUUCCAGUUGGGAGAGGACUGGGAGGAGGCUUCAAAGCAGUGAGUACCAUCUGGACAUGUCUGUGAGAACUUGGGAUCUGUUGUUUGGGGUGGAGGGGGUUUGUUAUUAAUGGCAGGUUGUUCACUGUGUGCUGAGGUUAUCUUCACACAGGAGGAGAGGCUCUGAACACCUGAUCUGUACCAUGUUUGUGCAGCCACGGUGAAUCAGGGCUGCUUUGCCCUUCUGCUGCCUGGAGGUGCUACCUGGAUGUCAAGUCUCAUUCAGCAAAUGAUGGAAAUUUGGAAAGCAGAAGAAUGAGUAGAGCCAGUGUCCUGCCAGUAAUUGCUGGAAGCAGAGGAGAAGGGAGCUGUAGGAUAUUGGCACGUGGAGAAGAACAGAGAUAUUCCUACUCUGGCUGAUGGUUUCUAAUAAAG